ACUUUCAACAACGGAUCUCUUGGCUCUGGCAUCGAUGAAGAACGCAGCGAAAUGCGAUAAGUAAUGUGAAUUGCAGAAUUCAGUGAAUCAUCGAAUCUUUGAACGCACAUUGCGCCCGCCAGUAUUCUGGCGGGCAUGCCUGUUCGAGCGUCAUUUC
rnacentral:rRNA from 1 species